rnacentral:rRNA from 1 species
AGGGAAACCGAGUCUUAACUGGGCGUUAAGUUGCAGGGUAUAGACCCGAAACCCGGUGAUCUAGCCAUGGGCAGGUUGAAGGUUGGGUAACACUAACUGGAGGACCGAACCGACUAAUGUUGAAAAAUUAGCGGAUGACUUGUGGCUGGGGGUGAAAGGCCAAUCAAACCGGGAGAUAGCUGGUUCUCCCCGAAAGCUAUUUAGGUAGCGCCUCGUGAACUCAUCUUCGGGGGUAGAGCACUGUUUCGGCUAGGGGGUCAUCCCGACUUACCAACCCGAUGCAAACUGCGAAUACCGAAGAAUGUUAUCACGGGAGACACACGGCGGGUGCUAACGUCCGUCGUGAAGAGGGAAACAACCCAGACCGCCAGCUAAGGUCCCAAAGUCACAGUUAAGUGGGAAACGAUGUGGGAAGGCUCAGACAGCCAGGAUGUUGGCUUAGAAGCAGCCAUCAUUUAAAGAAAGCGUAAUAGCUCACUGGUCGAGUCGGCCUGCGCGGAAGAUGUAACGGGGCUAAACUGUGCACCGAAGCUGCGGCAGCGACGCUUAUGCGUUGUUGGGUAGGGGAGCGUUCUGUAAGCCUGCGAAGGUGUCCUGUGAGGGAUGCUGGAGGUAUCAGAAGUGCGAAUGCUGACAUAAGUAACGAUAAUGCGGGUGAAAAGCCCGCUCGCCGGAAGACCAAGGGUUCCUGUCCAACGUUAAUCGGGGCAGGGUGAGUCGACCCCUAAGGCGAGGCCGAAAGGCGUAGUCGAUGGGAAACGGGUUAAUAUUCCCGUACUUGGUGUUACUGCGAAGGGGGGACGGAGAAGGCUAUGUUGGCCGGGCGACGGUUGUCCCGGUUUAAGCGUGUAGGC